GGACAGGCUCUUUUUAUAGGAAGGGUGGUUCGCCACCUGAGGCAGAUUAUUCAAGAGGAAUAGAAAAUGGCUUUGAACGCUGAACAGAAAGCAGCAAUCGUAAAUGAGUACCAGGUAGGCGAA
rfam:Halioglobus sp. HI00S01 HI00S01_c9, whole genome shotgun sequence.